rnacentral:lncRNA from 1 species
ACAUAACUAUUUUAUAAUUUAACAAACAAAAAAAAAAUUUGUUAACAACUUAUUUUAAAAAUUUUACAUUCAAAUUUUAAUUUUCUCUAAAUUUUUUAUUUGUCAUAUAUCCUAUAAUUAUUGGAAAUAAAAUGAUUAAAAACAAAAUAAUACUCCAAAAUAAGUAUUAAAUUUAAUUUUUUUAAAAUUAUGCUAUUUGCAUUUCACAAUUCAUAUCCUUAUUUUUAUUUUUCCAUUAGGCAGUAGGCAC